GCCCGGUUAGCUCAAUCGGUAGAGGUUAGUACAUUCUGAUCCAUGCACUAUUAUUGAAUUACCCACUAACAGUAAAUAGCGUGAGACUCUUAAUCUCAAGGUUGCGGGUUCGACCCCCGCAUCGGGCU